rnacentral:ncRNA from 1 species
GCUCUCUGGAGAAUCCCAGCAAUGGGUGCCGAAGGUGAAAGGAAAUCGUGAUUUCCGAAUCUCUCAGGCAAAAGGACAGUGAA